UUCUGAUUGGAUUCAAGUUGAGCAAACAUCGGCUCGACGGGGGUGCUAGCCUCGACAAUCAAUCAAAGCAGAAAGCGAGGCUUGAUCAUUACCCCUCAAAAUGUCUAAAAUAGAUUGUAGCAAAUUAGAUGGCCUAUAAACCACGCGUUUAUAAACAGUGGUACCUUUUAGAAAAAACGAAAAAGUUGUAAUUGAAUCACGUAAUAGGAGGAAUAGCCUGGAAAUUUGUAUAGCAUAGUUUUUUAAAAAAAACAAUCAUUGCUUAAGCAAUUCACGAACUAGAUUUCAUUAAAGCAAAUCAGUCAGACAGCCUUAAUUAUUUGUUGUAAACGUGUCGUGUAAGAAAUAUGGUUACGUGGUCGGGUUAACAUAAAAUAUAUCGGAUGAAUUUUAUAUAAAUGACAUCUGUGUUGAUCAUCGCUAUUCCACUGACAACUGCACUCUCAGACUAAUCAAUAACGGGAUCUUGUGCUAUCUAGACUCGCAGGAGUGAAUGGAGCUUUAUCAGAAGAUAUACAGUCAAAAACGAAGAUAAGGGUGGAUUGUGACUGUUAUGGGUCGACUUGGAAGAAAGGAGCCGGACGCCGCACUGUCUACUCGUCACUAUCUUCACAUUAACCAGGAACGGGUCUGCGCUGGCACCAGCGUCACAGUUAAACUGGGGGAUCAGAUGAGUAACUGUCGACUGUUCAUUUAAUGGUGUAAUUUAAUCCAGGUCUCUCUUGCAGAAGAGGUUAUUCAUUUCGAGAGGUCGAGGCUAAAUAAAUAAAGAGGAUGGAGAAAUGAGGAGCACAAGAGAGGAAAAGUAGACACUCUCACAUUACCAGUUGCAAUGUACGGGGCUCUACAGACUGGUAGUGUUUCACCGUGUCAAAAUGUAUUAUGUGCUGUUCAGUUAAGCAGCAAUUCAGAGCCUACAGGAUCAAUGUUAUUGUUCAUCAGAAUUGUGUCAGGUGAUGCAGUAGUGUCUAGCGUGUCCCACUUCUUCCCACACAUUCCUGUGCUGCUCUUUUCCUUGUUGUUUACCCAUUGUCCUCUCCACUUGGAUCGUUGUGAUGUUUUGUGAAAUUGACAAGGAGGAGACAAAGGUAAGACACAAGGAAAUAGUAUUAGGACACAGACACUGCGUUGUUAAUCAUCUCCAUUAUUGUCCAGUGAUGUGGGAGUGUCCACCUUGCUGAUUGGACCUUUAAAGCAAGUGGGUGUGGCUAUAAAAUGAGCCCUCUCUAUUGAGUGUGUGUCUAUUGCGGUGUCCAUAUUAAGUGUGAUCUUUCAAAGAUAUGACAUGAACAAAAAUAAAAUAAAAUGUAUUGCUGCAAAAAUC